GGUCACAAAGCCAUGAAAUUCAAGAAUGGAAGUUGGCUAUUAACACUUCGUUCUAUUUAUUUAUAUCUUUGUUCUAUCCAAUUCUGUUUCAGACUUAUCUUUAAAUCUUUAUGUACAAGAUAAUACACUAUUUUAUUUUCGAGUGAUUUCUGGAUAAUUUGCUGAUAAAAUGCUGUAAAUUCUGUAAUUCAAUCAGAGUUGUGUACCGAAAGCAGUUGUUUUCCGUGUUCCCUUCCCUCUCAAUGAAGAAAUUGAUGAGGAAAAGUAAGAUUCCAAAUACAAGCCAAUCUUACAAUUUACACAGCUGGAAAUAUACACAAUCAUUAUGUACUUCAUUCUCAUUUCCAGUGCUCUCAACCUGAUACCUUGUGGUCUGACUUACCGAAGAGCUGAGCAUUUGCAGCAAAAGUCCAUGGGAGCCAUGCCUGAGAACAGUACAUCACCAAAAAAGUCUUUUUCUUCAUUGUCUCUCGUUUUCUGGCUCAUUGAAUAGAGAAAGGACUGAUCAAUAGCAAGCGAAAGUUCAUCACUUAUUUUCAAGCCCUGUCAAAGGAGCACUGCUAAGGCCAGGACUAUGAAUGGAGCUGGUCAUUAAUACUAUGGAGGAUAUGUAAGUGCGCUGCUAAGGAACAUGCAGACAACAUCCAGUCAAGAGCUUCUGCAGAUGGUGUUAGCAAGGGCAUGGAAAUCCCUCAGAAACUGGAAGCAUGACAGAAAGCGGAAAAGGAAAUGAGUUGAAGAACUGCAGGUCCUCUCUGGUAGUAAGGAUCCAAGGAAGGGGUAUGGAGAGGGACAUGAAGGGCAGCUAAAUGUUUUGAUUCAACAAGUAUGUUCUUGGGUGUGGGAAAACAGCUUCUAAGUGCACUUUGUCUUAUCUAGAGUUGACUUUUAUGACACAUGUCAGUCUUCUUCUGGACAAGGACUUGAUGUCUAUGCUGGCUACCUAUGAAACCCUCAGAAGCUUCAAUAGCAAUCCUAACUAGCAAAGUUCUGCACUGGCAGAUGUUAACUGAACCAAAAUUAUUCACUCCUAAUCAUUGCAUUACCAAAGGGAUCUAAAAAAUUCAUAAGGAAUUCAAAGACUAUCAAAUGUGAGUGCAGAACAAGGGAUUUGAACUAUUAGAUGAAAGGGCAAAAAGUCCUUUAAGCAAACCUGGAAAAGUUUUGUGUGAGGACUGAUUUAUGGCAGAAAAGUAUCACAGCUGAAAGAUAAUAAAGACACCAAAGCGAAGGAAGAUGAUUCUGUG
rnacentral:lncRNA from 1 species